rnacentral:rRNA from 1 species
UACGUAGGUAGCAAGCGUUGUUCGGAGUUACUGGGCGUAAAGGGUGUGUAGGCGGUUUUUUAAGUUUGGUUUGAAAUCUCCCGGCUCAACUGGGAGGGUGCGCCGAAUACUGAAAGACUAGAGUGCGGGAGAGGAAAGUGGAAUUCCUGGUGUAGCGGUGAAAUGCGUAGAUAUCUGCAGGAACACCCGUGGCGAAGGCGGCUCGCUGGACCGCAACUGACGCUGAGGAACGAAAGCUAGGGGAGCAAACAGG